rnacentral:rRNA from 1 species
AUACGUAGGUGGCGAGCGUUGUCCGGAAUUACUGGGCGUAAAGGAUGCGUAGGUGGAUAUUUAAGUGGGAUGUGAAAUCCCCGGGCUCAACCCGGGAACUGCAUUCCAAACUGGGUAUCUAGAGUGCAGGAGAGGAAAGCGGAAUUCCUAGUGUAGCGGUGAAAUGCGUAGAUAAUAGGAGGAACACCAGUGGCGAAGGCGGCUUUCUGGACUGUAACUGACACUGAGGCAUGAAAGCGUGGGUAGCAAACAGGAUUAGAUACCCUGGUAGUCCACGCCGUAAACGAUGGGUACUAGGUGUAGGAGGUAUCGACCCCUUCUGUGCCGUCGUUAACACAAUAAGUACCCCGCCUGGGGAGUACGGUCGCAAGACUAAAACUCAAAUGAAUUGACGGGG